rnacentral:misc_RNA from 1 species
GAUGAAGAACGUAGCGAAAUGCGAUAAGUAGUGUGAAUUGCAGAAUUCAGUGAAUCAUCGAAUAUUUGAACGCACAUUGCGCCCCUUGGUAUUCCAUGGGGCAUGCCUGUUCGAGCGUCAUUUGUACCCUCAAGCUCUGCUUGGUGUUGGGUGUUUGUUCCGCCUCUGUGUGUGAACUCGCCUCAAAACAAUUGGCAGCCGGCGUACUUGUUUCGGAGCGCAGCACAUUUUGCGAUCCAGAUCAACGUACAGCGGCAUCCAAGAAGCCUUAUUUAACGCUCUUGACCUCGGAUCAGGUAGGGAUACCCGCUGAACUUAAGCAUAUCAAUAAGCGGAGGA